rnacentral:rRNA from 1 species
AGAAUCAACGCUGGCGGCGUGCCUAACACAUGCAAGUCGAACGAGAAAGUGGAGCAAUCCAUGAGUAAAGUGGCGACCGGGUGAGUAACACGUGACUAACCUACCUUCGAGUGGGGGAUAACAUCGGGAAACCGAUGCUAAUACCGCAUAAUAUCGCAAGAUCAAAGCAGCAAUGCGCUGGAAGAGGGGGUCGCGGCUGAUUAGCUAGUUGGCGGGUAACGGCCCACCAAGGCGAAGAUCGGUAGCCGGCCUGAGAGGGCGCACGGCCACACUGGAACUGAAACACGGUCCAGACUCCUACGGGAGGCAGCAGUGGGGAAUUUUGCGCAACGGGGGAAACCCUGACGCAGCAACGCCGCGUGGAGGAUGAAGCCCCUUGGGGCGUAAACUCCUUUCGACCAAGACGAUAAUGACGGUACUGGUGGAAGAAGCACCGGCUAACUCUGUGCCAGCAGCCGC